GCAACAAUGGAACACUGUGGAGGGGAGUGCACAGUGCAGUGCUAGCUCUAUCUCUUGUGCCCACCACACACAGCUGAACUGAGACCCACGCCUAUUACAUGCUGUGAAAGUCUCUGGUGAUUCAAAGGAAAGGAAAAAAAAAGUCUCUUCCUCCUCUCCCAUUCCUGAGGCAAACAGGGCAUCUAAGGAAUGCCUAGGAAUGGUCCCAGUUUUCAUCAUGUGACUACUGAAAAUAUGAGGUUAAAGCAACAGAAAUUGAAUAGAAGCUUCUCACUGGGCUCGAGUCGUCUGUAGUUCUUGGCAAUAGGUACAUGUCUUUUCAGUGAAUAAGAACAGUUAAACAGUCAUGGUUACUCCUCAGAGAAAUCAGCCAGCUCCUGGAAGGCCUGAGAAUCCAGAUGGAAAAUAAGAGCUCUUGGAUCAAUUCUGCCUGCUUUUAGAGGAACCUGAAAUUCUAACUUUCAAGAAGGAAUAAAUCUUAGUCCUAAUAAGAAGCAUUUAAGUACAGGCAGAAAGAAGCUCAGACUUACCACUCCUGAACUGCAGCUACAGAAUGCCUUGAGGAUUAUUUGAGUCUCCAGUAAGUGCCAGAAGAGAGCUUAGUUUAACAAACUUACUGCUGUUUAUUUGUGAGUUUUGUUGGUUUCUCAUUCACUUCUAAAUAAAUCCAGUCGU